ACGGGAGGCAGCAGUAAGGAAUUUUCGGCAAUGGGGGAAACCCUGACCGAGCAACGCCGCGUGAGUGAUGAAGGUCUUCGGAUUGUAAAACUCUGUUGUAAAGGAAGAAUGUUAUGAAUAGGAAAUGAUUCAUAAGUGACGGUACUUUACUAGAAAGUCACGGCUUACUACGUGCCAGCAGCCGCGGUAAUACGUAGGUGGCAAGCGUUAUCCGGAUUUAUUGGGCGUAAAGGGUGUGUAGGCGGUUUGUUAAGUUUGAGGUGAAAGCGUUGGGCUCAACCCAAUAUAGCCUCAAAUACUGGCAGACUAGAGUGCAGAAGAGGGUAAUGGAACUCCAUGUGUAGCGGUAAAAUGCGUAGAUAUAUGGAAGAAUACCGGCGGCGAAGGCGGUUACCUGGUCUGUAACUGACGCUCAGACACGAAAGCGUGGGGAGCAAAUAGGAUUAGAUACCCUGGUA
rnacentral:rRNA from 1 species